GACGUAGGAGGCGAGCGUUGUCCGGAUUCAUUGGGCGUAAAGAGCGCGCAGGCGGCUUGGUAAGUCGGAUGUGAAAACCCGAGGCUCAACCUCGGGCGUGCAUCCGAAACUGCUCGGCUAGAGGUAGGUAGGGGAGAUCGGAAUUCCUGGUGUAGCGGUGAAAUGCGCAGAUAUCAGGAGGAACACCGGUGGCGAAGGCGGGUCUCUGGGCCGAUACUGACGCUGAGGAGCGAAAGCGUGGGGAGCGAACAGG
rnacentral:rRNA from 1 species